rnacentral:misc_RNA from 1 species
GGUGGGACGAGGAUUCGAGCCCACGACCCCCAGACUGCGAGUCGAGCGCUCUAACUACCUGGCCAUGCCAGGCCCAGCUGUAAAGAAACAUAUUCUAUUAAUUUCUGCUUUUUUUACUCCCAGAAUACACGCUAUCAGAAAUUGUAUUAUUCUAUGAUCAAGGUCUUGAUCAUUGCGUUUGAGCAUUCAUAGAAUAUAUGGUAUACUGGACAAAGGUCAACAAGAUUGUCUUUUUUUUCCUUUGUUGUUGCUAAAAGAGGUCAGUUUCAGAGAUAAGGUUAACAAUGACAUCCAAAGUUUACAUGCCAUCACAGCGAUAAGUCGAACCAUACAAAUCUAGUCUGAUCUCUCUGUGAUGUGAAACUAUCUUAGCAUUUCUGAAAUCCAGUUUUUCUGUAAAAGACAUUAGUCUGCUGUGUGCGCAGUUUCUUAACUCAAAACAUUUAGACAAUUUGUGUGAUCCACGUAAGUAACAGCGUCAUUCCAUUCAGGCUAAGUUUUGGAACCAGUGUACAUCUAUGAGACACUUCUCCGUCUACUUGUUCACAGGCGUCAUCUAUGGGUAACAUUUUCAGAAGUUAUAGAGAGGAUCCUCUUAUCGACGAGGGCACAGAUCAAAGUGAACCCAAUGUGUCAGAUGGGGGAAUCGACAUACCGGACAUUAUUGGUUCUUAUGGUCCUUGGCAGAGAAAAAUUUUCUUAUUGGCUUUCUUUGCUUCUUUUCCCAACUCCUGGAAUGCUUUGGUCAUGAGUUUGUUCGCUCCUAAUGUGGAACACUGGUGCAGACGACCAAAUCUUUACAACAACUUUUCCAAUGCCGAGUGGAAGAACUACGCUAUUCCUCUAAUAGACGACGGCUCGAGAUUUAGUCGAUGUAAAAUGUACGACUUAGAAACAGUGGACUACCUCCAACCUCCAGAUCACAACCUUACUAUCGCAUGCGCUGCUUGGGAGUACGAUCACUCCCAGUAUAGGGCUACCAUUGUCGAAAAGUGGAAUUUAGUUUGUUCGAAGGAAUGGCUGGUGUCUCUAAGCCAGUCUAUUUAUAUGGCUGGGUUCCUAGUGGCAGUGUUCGUGUUUGGGCAGCUUGCAGACAGGUUUGGACGUCGCCCGAUUAUUUUGGUCUGUAUAACUUUGAAUAUUGUUGCUGGAUUGCUUACUUCGUUUUCCACUAACUACGUGAUGUUCACCAUUUUGAGGUUUAUUGUGGCCCUUGGUGUUGCAGGAAGCUGGACUACAUCUUUCGUCCUCGUUAUGGAGGUUGUAGGAGCGAAACAACGACCUGUUUUAGGAGUUGCUAUUCAGCUGGGUUGGGCUACAGCCUACGUCGUACUUGGCGCCAUUGGCUGGCUCUUAAAGGACUGGUUCUACAUUCAGUUGUCCAUCAGUAUACCUUCUAUAGCAAUGGCACUUUCAUGGUGGAUUCUUCCGGAGUCUCCUCGCCUGUUACUGACACUUGGGCGAUUGAAGGAAGCAGAAGAAGUAUUACAAAAAGCUAUGAAAGAGAAUGGGAGGAAUAUAUGUGAUCUCAAGACGGUGAUUAAACAAAUAAAAGAACAGAUUGACAAUGAAAAGACGAAGAGGGUUAACAAAACGGCUUUGGAUCUCUUGAAAACGCCGAACAUGAGAAAUAAAACGUUAAACAUUUAUUUUUGUUGGUUUGUCAAUGCGUUUGUGUACUUUGGUUUAUCCCUGAACACCAACAACCUCGGAGGAAAUCCCUACGUGAAUUUCCUUAUUUCUGGAGCUGUAGAGCUUCCAUCGUGUUUCGUUACAAUAUUUAUUCUCAACUACUUUGGUCGAAAGAAGCCCACGACUUUUGCUAUGUUAGUCGGUGGACUAGGAUGUCUGUUGACCAUUCCUAUCCCUGAAGGGAACGGCCACAAAUACUGGAGUUCCGUUGGGAAUAUUUGGUGGAUUGUCCGUUUUGUCAGGACUUCUAGUUUUACUUUUACCUGAGACUAGCAAUUCACCAAUUCCAGACACACUGGAGGAAGGCGAGAAUUUUGGAAAGUCUGGUAACCACAGAUCCAUUAAUCCUAGAGGAACUCAGAACCAACACCACGUGGAAAAUUAUUCUACCCAACCUGAAAAUUCGCUUACCGAUUCCUCUGUGUUCAACUAAACGAGUUCCUAGGAUUUUUCGAUUUUAAAGUUCUUCAGUUUCUAAUAACAUGCCGAUACUGUUGUUUCUGGGUUAUGAAUUGAUUAUAACCAGUGCUGUCCUUUAAGCAGAUUCUUAACUUUAAUUAAUUCGUUUUCUGUUCAUUCUUCUUAAUAAACAUCUUGGUCAAAACUUUUUUCGGGAAGAAUAGUUAGUUUUCAAGAUGCGUAAAACUAUUGUUACACAGUUGCUCAACAGCUUACAAAUCUAUUUGUAUUUGUUUCAUUACAUUAUCUUAAGACU